UACGUAGGGUGCGAGCGUUGUCCGGAAUUAUUGGGCGUAAAGGGCUAGUAGGCGGUUUGUCGCGUCGGGAGUGAAAACCUUGGGCUUAACUCAGGGCUUGCUUUCGAUACGGGCAGACUAGAGGUAUGCAGGGGAGAACGGAAUUCCUGGUGUAGCGGUGAAAUGCGCAGAUAUCAGGAGGAACACCGGUGGCGAAGGCGGUUCUCUGGGAAUGACCUGACGCUGAGGAGCGAAAGCGUGGGGAGCGAACAGG
rnacentral:rRNA from 1 species